rnacentral:lncRNA from 1 species
CGGACAGGCAGUCCAAAGGGACACGGAAAGCGUCCGAGGGGCAUGGGGCAGCUCUCAGGGCUCUGCGGGCCCCUGCGCGGCUUCCCUGAGUGAAGAACCCUAGUGGCAGAGGGACAGGAGAGAAAAUGAGGCUUUAUUAGGCUGCACAGGAAAACGUGGAGGGCCAUUCCAAUGUCCUGCUGAGAUGGACCGACUGCAGUGCCCGGCAGCUGGGGUUGGCUCAGGGCUCCAGGCCCAGAGGUCACCCAGCGGCGCUCCGAGUCCCUGAGAGUACGGUUUUGAGUUGAAUGUAGAGUUUCCUUUUCUUGUCCCUUUGGCUGUACCUGGGAUGGAACCCAGGGGUGCUUGACCACUGGGCCCUUUUNGCCAAUCUGUUGGCCUCUGGCCACACCGGCCUUUGGGACAUCCAAACAAACUAGCAGCAGAUUUCCCCAAAAGCUACAGUCUCGGUGAGUCAUUUCUCUGGAACGUGGUGGCAGCCACUCGACGGAGGGCAGCUGUGAGAAGGAAUGUCCAUGCGGGGUGGCAGCGGCAGAGGGUGUGGCCGCGCGGGUCUCAGAGCAGCCAGAGACUGUGGCCUUGGCUGGGUGGCGGGGCGUGGCUGCGGCUAGAUCUGUGGGCGUGGCUUUGGACCAGGGGAAGGCUGCACUUAGCAUAUGGGCGUGGCUGUGGGCCAUGGGCGUGGCUGUGGGUCAUGGGCGUGGCUGUGGCCAGGCAUGUGGGCGUGGCUGUAGUCAGGAGUAUGGGCGUGGCUGUGGCCAGGCAUGUGGGCGUGGCUGUGGCCCGUGGGCGUGGUUGCCAGCCUCACCUCUGCAGUGCUAACCCCUGGAUGAACUACUGACUGGUGUCAUCGCAGUGACAUGUAGCAGGAUUCAAAGAUCUGAAGUCCCUGUUCCCCAGCACGGCUAGGACUUCAGGUAGACUCAGGGCAAAAAUUGAGCCAAAGACAAGUGAGAGCACCUACCUGGGCCCAGAUCCCUGAGCAGCCUGGGAAGAAGUCAGGGAACAGGUCCCGGUCACACACAGUGGUGUUUUCUGUGGCUGCUGGUGGCCAUGCAUGAGGGCGACCUGGAACCACCUCUGUCUGGGGGAGACCUGGGUAGCGGGCAGCCAGCUGCCUGUCUGUAGCAGAGGGCAGGAGAGGGGUGUGAGGACCGCCCCUCGGCCCCCCUGGCUCUGCAGCUGGGCCCUCUUGCAACAGGAAGGUCCUUCCCCCAGCAGGCGCCCCCUGCUCAGGGGCCCUUCCGCGGGUUUCCUGUUCACAGAAUGGUCUCCUGAUCAAAAGACGCGACAAGAACAAGGAGGAGGAAGAAAGGUUUAUUUUGGCUCCUGGUUUCAGAGGUUUGGUCCCUGGUCAGCCAGUUCUGUAGGUCUGGACCCAAGGUGAGGCAGACCAUCAUGGCAAAGGGCGUGGCAGAGAAGAGUAGCCCAGGACAUGGCCACCAGGAAGCAGGGAGCGCUCCACUCACCGGUGGAAACCCCAGUGACCCACCUCCUCCAGCCACACCCCACCUGACUACAGUUACCACCCCAUUAAUCCACAUCAGUGGAUUAAUCCACUGGCUCUAGGUCAACUCUCCUAGCCCAAUCAUUUCACCUCUGAAUGUCCUUGCGUGGUCCCACACACGAACUUUUGGGGAACACCACGUUCCCAAACCACCACCCCCGUGCAUUCCAACUGUGUGGUCUCACCAUCCAGACCUUCUGCAAACACUGGGCUCACGACUGGGUUUGGGAACUGCUGGGACUCUUGGUCCGCAGCCAAUGAGUUACCAGUUGCAAAAGCUUUCAGAAAGACUGGCUCUUGUGUCACCACCAGAGAGUAUGAUUUACAUGUCUUUGACAUUCUCCACUUUCAAAAGGCACUUGUGAAUGCCAGGACUUCUGAGCUGUAUUUCUGAUACUUGUACCUACGGAGAAGGGCACCUCCUUUUUUUGUUGUGAAAGAAAGAAAGAGAGAGAGAAAGAAGGAAGGAAGGAAAGAAAAUGAGUGUAUGAAGGAGCCCUGUCCACAAGUCCAUGCCGUUCAGGUAGAAGCCAAUGAAGGAGAAAACAAAAAGAAACAGACAGACCUCAUCGGAUCAGAGAUGCUUUAUCGAGCAGGAGAGGGGCACGUUUUCAAGAGGGAAAUGGCAGCAGUGAGUGACAACAGGUCUGAGUUCUACAGGUUUAGCAGGGCCAGGUCAUGGGACCAUUUGGCCAUUACUUUGGGGCAGGCAGGGGGAUUGGGGCAGACGAGGGAGACUGCAGCAGGUCAGAGUCCUAAGCUCCCUUUUUCUCUGAGGGUUUUGUAAGUUUCCAUUUCCUUCAGCAGGGACCUCCUCAGAGAUAGCGAUGGCAGACGUUUAUCGAGCUCCUUCCAUGCGUCAUCUCAGUGAUACCCACGGUGCCUCCACAGCAGUGAUUUUUUUUUUUGGCACCUGCCAUUGAACCCAGGGGUGCUCACCUACUGAGCCACAUCCUCAGCCCUUUUUAUAUUUUACUUAGAGAGAGGGCCUUGCUUAGUUGCUUAGGGCCUUGCUACAUUGCUGAGGCUGGCCUUCAACUUGUGAUCCUCCUGUGUCAGCCUCCCAAGCUGGUGGAAUUACCGGUGUGUGCCACCGUGCAAGGCUAGAGCUCUAGAGCAGUGAUUUUUAAUGGGGUGGUGGUAGUGGUUAUUUUGCCCCCCUCCCAGGGACAUUUGGUCACAGUGUAUGGUGAUGUUUUUGUCCCAGCUGGGCUGGUGGAUGCGCUGGCUUCUAGCGGGUAGAGGCCGGGAUUCUACUGAACCUUCUACAAGGCUCAGGACAAGCCGAGGUUGAUCCAGCUCUGUUACCCGUGCUCAGCUUGAGAAACCCUGCUCUUGGAGAAAGGGGUUGCCACCUCCCCACUUCACAGAUGAGGAAACCAAAGUUCAGAGUGAGACGUGAUCCUGUACCUAGGCUCACGAUCAAACAGGCUCAGCAAAAAACGAGCAUAUAGAACAAGCUACAGAGGAGAGGACACCCAUGUUUGCACUGAAGGGAGAAUGGGGAGAGGGAGGACUGGCUUUCUCUGUCUCCCUUCCUGGACAGCGUGGCCUGAGGCUGCUUCCCGCCCACCCCUUCCUUACCCCCACCACAUCUGCUUUCCAAUUUCCCACCCCCCCACACACUCAAUCUAUGGCUGGUUGACAGUCGGCCAGCCAUGGGGGGACCACCUGCCCUCAUCUCCAUCAGGCUACAUCUGUGUGGGCUGAAGGAGGGGACAGGGGCCAGUGGCCUCUAUGUCCGUCCUGGGUAAAACCUCCCAACCGUGAGCCCAGACAAGGAAGGAGGCCAACGGGGUGUCCACGGGUGAUGGGGUUUUAGACAUUCCAUUUCCAAAACGAACCUACGCUACUUUCACGAGAAGCAAAGAAUACUUUAAUGAGAGUAUAAAAGAAAAAAAUCCCCACGUAGCAGGAGACAGGAAGGAUGUCCACGAAAAAGCUUGGAUAGAAGGUUCUAGCAGCUUCCUCAUGGGCAACAGCCAAAAUGGACAUGGUCCAGGUGGAGCCUGGGAGGGCCAAAUAAAUUUCAGGUAAGCUGGAGGGAGACGGGGGUGGAGGGCACACCCACAUUCCNNNNNNNNNNNNNNNNNNNNNNNNNNNNNNNNNNNNNNNNNNNNNNNNNNNNNNNNNNNNNNNNNNNNNNNNNNNNNNNNNNNNNNNNNNNNNNNNNNNNNNNNNNNNNNNNNNNNNNNNNNNNNNNNNNNNNNNNNNNNNNNNNNNNNNNNNNNNNNNNNNNNNNNNNNNNNNNNNNNNNNNNNNNNNNNNNNNNNNNNNNNNNNNNNNNNNNNNNNNNNNNNNNNNNNNNNNNNAGCCUGGGCAAGUUAGGGAGAUCUGGCCCCAAAAUAAAAAAAUACAAAGGGCCAGGGUUUAGCACAGUGGUAGAGCGCUCCUGGGUUCAAUCUCCAAAAAAGACUGUGGAUGGGGCUCGGUGGGCUUCAUCCAUUACAGGUGUGUGGCUGCUGUCUGCAACACCACGGGUGACCCCAGGGACCUGACGCUGGUGGGGGGCAUCCUGCAUUAUUGUAUUUACAUCAAGUUCAAGAACAAACCGAGUUAAUCCCUAGAGAUUAGCGAGGAGCCUUCAGGGGUGGCUGGAAAGCCGGGCGGUGCCCUCUCCCCUUCCUGCCCAGAGUCACCAGGCUGGCCCCACAUUUGCAUAAGCCACUCAGCAAAAGAAAAGCCCUGGAGGUAACCCGAUCCUGCCUUUGUGGAGGGCUGUUUAGCCACCAAGCGCCGCCGCCGCAGUUCUUAGAGUGUGUGGCUUCUUGGGGGACUGGCCAGCAAGCCCACCCCCGAGGGAGUGUCAUCAUUGCAACUGCAGGAGGGUCCCCUUUCACCCAAGUCACGCCUGUAGGCUUCCCCUUCCCACUUCAAACUGCCCUGCUCUCCUUCCAGCCCCAGGGCUGAGCCAGGAGGCUUAUUGUCCCCGGAAGGAGAAAUAGCGGAGAAGAAAGGGACCAUUGAUCAGCCAAGCGGCCGCUCUUGACCUCUGCAGAGGGACAAGGGCCUUGAAAGCAGGCUUCAUGAGGGAGGAGAGGUGUUUCGAGUGACCCAUUCCCACGACAGGUCCACUCUAGGGAGGUCUUCCCGGUCGACACCAAGAGAUUUGUCCCCUCUACUCUCAGAGUGGCCCGGCAGGGGCUGAGCAGCUCGGCCGCCUCUGGGGUACCAGACCCCCUCCAGGACCGAUAGGUAUCGUACCCGUGGCGUUUUCUGUAGGUGCCACCCCACGAAACAGGCGGGAAAGGGACCAUGUCGAUGGUCAGUGUCCUCAUCUGCAGGAAGGCCGCAAGCUGGGGGAGGGGUGUGGAAUUCUGAAAUUCCUCCAGGCCACCCCACCCACAGGUGUGUGUGGGGGGGUCUCUCUGGGGGGGAGGGGAUUCAGAAUCAAGCUGGAAGUGGUGGGGAGGGGGGAGGCCACCAGGGAAGAGGAUCCCUCCCCCAGGAAAUCUGAGGGAGUCUUCUAGCCCCCGGGAGGGGACCUAGUGACUGGCCACGUCUCCCUGGUCGUGUUCCAAUGGCUCACGGGUGGUGGUGCGGGCAGGUAGGAGGAUGCCCGGCCCUCUAUGGCCUCUGCAGAGCCGUGAGGUACCCAGAAUCGCCCCUGGGCCUGGCACAGGACCAGGGAGAAGCCAAAAGAGCUCUGGCCUGUGGUCAGGACCCACAGGCUGCGGCAGGUGAGGGAUACAACGCAGGGGCAGAUAACCUGGCAUCCGGCUGCUGCCAGGGCCCGUGCCAGCCCAGGGACGCUUUGGCACAAAUUAGAGAAAGGAUCACUUGGUGACUCACGCUCACAGUCCAUGGGCUCACGGCCAGACUGGCGCUGCAGCCCCUCAGUGGCCGCACCUGUCCUGAGCCUAAGCCCCAGGUGAUGAGAGAUGGCCCUAGUUCUAGAACACAAGCUGUGUGCACCAGGAGUGCCUCAGGGGUUCCCAGUCCACUUCCUAGUGUCCCCAGUGAGUGUGUGAGUGUGUCCCCAUCUCCCCAGGGACCAUCCUAGGGGCUGGGGGUGGGUUGGGGGAGGGUGGGAGGUGGGCUUAGAGCCGGGAGCCCCUCCCCCUCCUCAGCCACAUCACAACUGAAGACUGUUGAAAUUACCAGACUGGCAAAAAUAUCCUUUCUGCCUUUUCCUCCCCAGCUGGGUGCAGACGUGCCUGGAAAGAGAUCUAUGAUAAGAAAAGCAAGAAGCCACAGCUUCCCCGGGCGGCCGCGCCAGGCAGCCGAAGCUGGACGCCAGGAGCAGCCUGCUGCCUCUGGCGGUCCUGGGGCAGGGUUGGCACGGCUCCUAGAUGGGUGACGAGGUGGCAGUUGGACCUGGAUUCACUCAUCCCCAGGAUCUCUGUGGACAGCACCUGCUUCCCUCUUGGGGUGGGGGGGAAAUCAGGGUGGAUGAUGAAGGGCACCGUCACAGCACAGGCCAGCUCUGGGGAGCUGUCCUUCCCUCUAGCUCCAGUGGACGCCCGAGAGGGAUGGGGCGGGGCGGGAGAGACCCCUCUGGGCAUCAAAGCCAAGCAGGAGGAGUCGGGGCCUUGUAGAUGGGAGGGCGGGUCUGGGAAUGGUCUAUUUUUGCAUAACAAACCGCUGCAAAACUUAGCCGCUUAAAAUGAAAGUCAACACGACCUCCCGGUUUCUGUGGGUCAGGAAUUGGAAGGUGACGGGCAGGGGGUCUUUCCCGAGCUGGUGGUCCCAUCCGUGUGCAGGAGGGCGCACUGCGUGGCUGGGGACAGGAGCUGCUCCCAGGUGGACCUCGGCAUGGCUGUGGCCUCCCCAGAGCCCGGACCAGCCCAUGGGACAGCAGGGUAGAGUCAGCAAGGACAGAGUGACAGCUUUGAAGCCCCACUCCCUCUCUGUGAGCUCCCCCACCGAUGUCCCAAGUCUGCCCUAGACACUCGGGGCCACUAGCGUGCACUAAAACAGAGGCCCAGAUGGCUCAGCAGGUGCAGGAAACCGGGGCUGAGACCGGCCCCGAACACUGACUUCCUUCUGCACCAGAGGAUGGGCCUCUCUAGGAAAGUCCAACCCCGCAGGGCUGGGGAGCUGGGAGCCUCUGUGCAUUUGAUGUUUUUUUCUUUUUUGGUGGUGCUGGGGAUUGAACCCAGGGCCUUGUGAAUGCGAGGCAAGCACUCUGCCAACCGAGCCGAAUCCCCAGCCUCCAUAUUUUGAGGUUUUUUUUUGUUUUUGUUUUUUGUACUGGGGAUUGAACCCUGGGACGCUCUACCACUGACCUGCACCCUGAGCCCCAUUUGCUUUUUAUUUUGAGGCAGGGUUUUGCCGAGUUGUCCAGGCCGACCUCAGCUGCCAUCCUCCUGCCCCAGCCUCCCAAGUCACCAGGAUCGCAGGCGUGCGCCACCACUGCGCCUCACAACACUUUGUUUUUCCACCCUAAGAAAGGCACUGCGUCUGAAGCACUUUGUUUCCCCGCCCAGGGGGUGAAGGUUCCUGCUUUUCAAAGCACAUUCCAGAAAGGAAAACACCACUGAGAAACGAUUUUUUUAAAAAAUUAUUUUUAGGCAUCAUUUUUCUUUCCUUUUGGUAGGCAUUAAAAAAAAAGUGAUGUAUGACUUGCAUAAUUCUUAAAAGAUUAAAAAGCACACAGAAAAUAUCCUCUCCGCAGAGUCCGCUACGGUUGACAUUCAAUCCCGGAUGCUUCUGGAAAUAAGAGGAUGGAGCUGAAAUUCUGGGGGUGGGGUGGGAACGUGGAGGAAGGAGGGUGGCCAAGGCUGAGUCAGGAGGGGUCCCGGCCAGAGCCCGUCGGAAUUUUAAGCAGAUAGGGUAGGGAUUGGGGAUUUGGAUUCUGGAAUCACAAGUGGUCUUUGUUCUCCUCUGUGAUCCUGGGAAUAGUAGCCUUUUCUGGAUUCUUGUCCAUCCUUAGUUAGCGUAUCAAGGACACCUUGUAUUCCUGUUUUAAAUAUCUUUUGUGUGUGUGUGUGUGUGUGUGUGUGUGUGUGUGGUGUGUGUCAUUACUUGAAACUGGUUUGGAUUUCCUUUUAGAACCUGUCAUCCCAGCGACCUGAGAGGCUGAGGCAGGAGGAUCGCCAGUUGGAGGAUAGCCUCAGCAAUUUAGCAAGGCUCCCAGCAACUUAGUGAAACCCUGUCUCAAAACAAAAAAUUAAAAAGGGCUGGGGAUGCAACUCCGUGGUAGAGCACUCCUGGGCUCAGUCCCUAGUACCAAAAUUAAAUUAAAAUAUAUAUAUAUAUAUACUCCCCCCAUGUGGGAUGCUUGUUUAUUUAACAGCUUAUUUCUUGGUAAAUCUCCGGAGAUUCUUCUUCGAUGCCUGGUGCAGGCGAAGCUGACUGGAAAUAUCACUUAUGGAAAACGCACCUGAGGGCUCUUUCUCUGAAGCGGUUUUAGGCCAGGGGAGUGCAGUGCCCAAGCCCGUCAUCCCAUCUACUCAGGAGGCUGAGGCAGGAGGAUCUCAAGUUUCAGACCAACUUGGACAAUUUAGCAAAACCCAGUCUCAAACUAAAAAAUAGAAAGGAUGAGGGCCGCAGCUCAGGGGUAGAGCACCCUGGGUUCCCUCCCCAGCACCAGGGAGGGGCGCAGUUUUAGAAUGAACUAGGAGGAGGACUAGAUCGUCAAGACACCAGGUGGGGUGAAACACCGCGUCAUGGUACCCGACGGCCAAUGGGGGCUCAGAGCCAUUGGCCACUCAUCCAUCUCCACAAGCUCUUUGGUCUUCCUGUCGCCGUAACAAGUGAAUAAUGCCAAGUGUGACCGCCCAAGGAUCCAUCGUUUCCAUGUUCCACAGACUGGCACAGGGAGGGCGCCCUCGGUGCCUGGCACCGGGCCAACAGCCUCACUUAAUUAUCUCAAUUAAGUUCAUGGCAACUCCUCAAGGUAGCUCCUCCUUUGACACCCUUAACAGAUGAGGAAACCGCAGCUCCAAAGAGUCAGGUCUUGGGCUGGGGCUGGGGCUCAGCAGGAGCACACUUGCCUGGCAGGUGUGAGGCCCUGGAUUCGAUCCUCGGCAUCACAUAUAAAUACAUAAAAUG